rnacentral:rRNA from 1 species
UACGUAGGGUGCAAGCGUUAAUCGGAAUUACUGGGCGUAAAGCGCACGCAGGCGGUCUGCUAAGUUUGGAGUGACAGUUGGUGGCUUAACUGCCAAAGUGCUUCGAAAACUGACAGACUUGAGGGCUUCAGAGGGACACGGAAUUCCGGGUGGAGUGGUGAAAUGCGUAGAUAUCGCUUGGAACGCCAACGGUGAAAACAGGUUGCUGGGGUUGUGCCGACGCUGGAGACACGAAAGCCAGGGGAGCAAACGGG